GGAAAACACCUUUAAAAAAAAACUUUAAUACAACAUGCAUAAAAAUUAAAAUGUAAUAAAUACUAAUAAUAAAUAAAUUGGAGCAUUGUAUAAUAAUAAAUUCAAACAAAAUGUAUAAUGAAUUAUUUCAUCUGUGUUGUCGGACUUUAUUCUAGUACGUUCUUCGAGAUAACGUUAUCAUUUACUCUUGUGUGCGUGAUUCGGUUCUGUCAAAACUGUCAAAAAGAUGUUCAAUGUGGAACGGACAAUAUGCUGUUAUCAUGUGAAAAAAAACAUGCAUUUCGACAAUUACGACGACUAAAUGACUAUGACGAAAAUACUACUGAUUACUAUUUAGCAACGUUGCAACUAAUUAUGAUCGUACACUGGACAUCUUAACUGACGACAUCUACGUACAUAUUUACUUCUACUACCCGGGAUUCGACUGUCUGUCGACUUCUGGCAGGUACCUAAGCUUUUAAAUCGGCGGCGGAGAAAACGCCCAAUGAUUUCCCCUGUGAAUCUCCUACCUCAUACGAACUGGUGCCAAUUUUGCGCAGGAUGACGCAAGGCGAGUAUUGCGGUCCAAGCUUGGCAUUAAACUGAUUGCCUGCCGACGAUUGGCGGAAGCUCCGCUUGAAGACUCGUUGACCCACGUCAAACUUCGCCUUCAUCUUCGUUCUCAAUUUUCGUUCCAGCUUGCUGCGCGACUCAUCUCUCAUGUCGAUGUUAUGAAUGAGUAAUUCAUGAUGAAGUUCAUCAUCCGCGAGGUGUGC